GUGUCUGUAGCUUAAAGGUAGAGCGCAGGUUUGUGGAGCCUGUUGGUGAGAGUUCAAGUCUCUUCAGACACC
rnacentral:tRNA from 1 species